rnacentral:lncRNA from 1 species
GCAAUUUCAGGGCUGAUUAGACGCAGUCAUUCAAACCUGGAAGCAAACCUUCCAGAAGCCCACACCAGGUGUCAAGCGUUGAGGAUUUAAAGACACGGAACCGGCCCCUGCCCAAGGGGCUCCCUGCCACAGUUAUCCUGCCCAGCCCUCCCGAGGGAUCCAGGCUCAGAACCGAACCGAUUCCGUCUCGGGAGUCCAAGGACGCCGAGGGCAGCGCACGACUCCCCCAAGUCGCCCCCGCCUUGCCCCAAGCUACAGAGGACCUGUCAGGCCAGCUCCUGCGGGAGUCCUACACUACAGGCCGCAACCUCCCUUUCCCUGUGCCGGAUACUAUCACUCUGGACCGGCCGGGGCCUCAAAGGGAGCCAUCGAGACCCACCCGGCCCAGAGUCCGACAACCCCUCACUCACCCCCGGCCUUGGCCGCCGCGGCCGGCUCACAACAUCCGCCCAGCCUCUGCACUACGGCACCCGUCCAGGGCCAAACCGCGCGCCCGCUCGCGCGCUGCGCCUCUAGCUGCGCACGCGCACAUGCAUACGCACCGUCCAGCGAGGCCGCGGUCUCCCACCAAGUUUUUCUCUGCCUUUGAUUAGCCUGAAAUCCCAACUACCUGUGACCACCCUCCCCGCCAGGGGCCUUCCUAACUCGGCUGUGAACGGAGGCGAUAUCCUAACCAAGAUUCCUAGGUCACCAGUUUCUACUCCUACCUCGCUUGGAGGCCUCACCUGGUGUCGCCUAGGAUGGCUUGAAAGGCUCGUGCUGUGGUUCUUGAUAUCUGCCACCCUUACACCUAUUUAGCUCCAGCAGGGCAGCGCUCUCCAUUGAAUGACUUCCAGCUGCUUCAGGACACACAGCUGCAGAAUCUGCUACAUGCAGUGGUGGCUGGACCUUGGCGGGAGGAUGUGGCAGAUGCUGAAGAAUGUGCUAGGUUCUGUGGGUCCCUUCUGGACUGCCGGGCCUUCCAUUACAAUAGGAGUAGCCACAGUUGCCAGCUGCUGCCAUGGACCCAGAACUCAUCCCACACACAGCUGCACUAUUCUAAGGGCUGUGACCUAUUCCAGAAGAAAGACUAUGUUCGGACCUGCAUUAUGGACAAUGGGGUCAGGUACCGGGGCACUGUAG